GAUCUGUAAUUCAGGUGCACUUCCCGUAUGGCUGGGAGCUAAGUCACAGCAGGUGGAGGCAAGGACAGGAAGGCAAUGGAUGGGUGGCCAGGACAACGUUGGACAGAGCCUUGUCUUCCCAGAGGCCAGCUCCUUCAAGUGUGCCUGGGAGCCGCUGGGGCGGCAACCGUCUCCCGCACUUUCCACCCACGUCUGCCCUGCCUACUUCCUACCGCUGAGUGCAACAGACUGCCAGCUGCAUCGUCAGGACCCACCAAGCAACUCACAUUUCUGAAGCCCAGCGUUCAUCUGCGGAACAUAAAACCCCCCUGAAGAUUCCAGCACCCUCCCUUUCUCAAAAACCAAACCUCACCACCUGUUUGAUGUUUCUACCAAACGUCGGUGCCAGAGAGCAGCCAGGAAGGGCAAGAUGUUCUUCCCUUCAGCGUUUGUCUGACGUGGCAUCACUGAUGUCUCCAAGGCUCCGUCAUUCUAUCCUAAACACUGGCCUAAAUGACUUCACCAAAUACAUCUGAAG